CCUACGGGAGACAGCAGUGAGGAAUAUUGGUCAAUGGGCGAGAGCCUGAACCAGCCAAGUCGCGUGAAGGAUGACGGCCCUACGGGUUGUAAACUUCUUUUGUCAGGGAGCAAUUGGGUCCACGCGUGGGCUUAGCGAGAGUACCUGAAGAAAAAGCAUCGGCUAACUCCGUGCCAGCAGCCGCGGUAAUACGGAGGAUGCGAGCGUUAUCCGGAUUUAUUGGGUUUAAAGGGUGCGUAGGCGGAAUAUCAAGUCAGCGGUAAAAAUUCGGGGCUCAACCCCGUCGUGCCGUUGAAACUGAUGUUCUGGAGUGGGCGAGAGGUAUGCGGAAUGCGUGGUGUAGCGGUGAAAUGCAUAGAUAUCACGCAGAACUCCGAUUGCGAAGGCAGCAUACCGGCGCCCAACUGACGCUGAAGCACGAAAGCGUGGGUAUCGAACAGGAUUAGAUACCCCUGUAGUC
rnacentral:rRNA from 1 species